UAACUCUAAAGUAAUAGAAAGACAGUGUUAUGGUCACACCAAGCAAGGCUCAGUUAUGCUACCUCAAAAAAUGAACAGCCUUCUAUUAAAGUCUCCUACUUCACCUCUCCUUUGCGGUGAGCUCAUGUUACGAGCUACAGCAUUUUCCAGUAAGUUGACUGCACCUGGCAUGGAAAUAACUGAUUUUGCAGAAUAUCUGCUUUCUGCCAUCCAGGUGACCUUUAUAAGUUCUCACCGGAUUACACGCUGUAAGACACAGCAAGUGCCCCUGCAAUCACACGGGCAUUCAGCACACAACUCUCUUAAGAAGAACGAGAUUCCGUGUGGCGAGCACGUUAGCACUCUGUGAUCAGCUUCUAAGAACAGGCUCCCUGCUCUUUCUAUUUUACUAUUUGUUUGAAACAUUUACAAAUCCUGAAAUAUGAACUGUUACUAGAAAUACUAAAUAGAAAAUGUAUUAACUAUUUGCCCAAUUCUGUUCUGAUAAGUACAGUUAGAGGUGAAAGCUGUCAUCCACAGGUAGUGUUUGCAAAAGAAAAACCUAUUAAAUGAGGCAAAGCUAUGCAAAUAAUCAGUCAUGAUAUAUAUUUUUAAAUUUAUUUUUUAUGUGCAUGAGUGUCUUGUCUGCAUUUAUGCAUGCAUAUUUACGCACGCCUGAUGCUCUUGGAGGCCAGUACACGGAACUGGAUCCCCUGGAACUAGAGAUCAGGAUGCAGCUCUCAGCUAACUUUCCAGCACCAAGCCUGCCUGCUGCUAUGCUGCUAAUGGACUAUGACUCUGAAACUGAAACAAAUCCUCGCCUGCUUGGUCCUGUGGAGUGAGCUGUGGACUGACCAUCAUCCCAGCUUCAGCAGCAGGCCUGGCUAUCCUGGCACAUCAAGAUCUGGCACCUACCCCUGACAUGGACUACAGAUAGAUACCGACACGUUAUGCAUGGCUGUGCUUCAUCAGUUUGGAGUUCCACAGCUGUGCAGAGGGGACAGUCUUCCCUGCAGCACUGCCUGCCCGCCUCACAAAGGCUGCUUCAGCUCGUCCUUUGUUGCCUGAUCAACAACAAGGCCUACUAUCAACAUGGCUGUGCAGGAUGAGCCACCUAGGUGGCACUCACAGAUGACCCAGAGGCCUCUGCAGAACUGCUGGAAAAGCCACUACAGCCAACGUGGACAAAAUCUAAGCUGGGGUGGACGGACUUCCUAUCUGCUACUUAUCAGUCAGCAGCCCCUUAGAGGGUCACUUCGGGGUUCCAUGUUUCCAAGGGUUCCCGAGGAAGAAAUCCAAAGCAUAUACUUAAGGAUUUCCUAUGGCUUAAAUGGUCUAAGAUGCAAGUAGUGUGGCGUGUUUUCAAACCAAAUACUUACCUUAACUAGUCAAGAUAAAAUGAACAUGCCACCUUCCAGACAGCCACUCUCAGCUACCCUGAGUGUGUCUCACAAAGCAUGUGCUUGCCUCCCUGCACGUGUCUCCCCGCACACGCCUCUCUGGUUUUGCAAGGCUGCAGAGGCGAGUGUCUGAGGGCUGGCAUGGGUCAUCUCUCACCAUCUUCUUGGUUUUUAUCUCCUCUCCCCUCUCUCUCUCCUCUCUCUCUCAACUUUUUGUUGAUUCUUUGUAAAUUUUACACCAUGCACCCCAAUCCCACUUAUCUCCCUGACUUUGUAUCUGCCCUGUGACUUUGCAACACCUCUCACAAAG